AGAGGCGCAUUAAGGGAUGUACAAAACAGGCAUUCACCCCAGAUGGUGAAAUUUCAAAAGCGGUUAAAUUAAAAUUAUUUUAGGUAUCAAUAUGUAAAGGACAGAGAAAGCAAUGUUUAGAUAAGAAAAAUAAAGAAAACUUUAAAGUAUCCAUUGGAAUAGGGGGGAUUAUUUUCGGUUUGAUGUGCCACUGAUUAGAAAACAAAUGUGAAUUUUUUUUAUUAAAAAUCGUUUAGAAUUUAGAAUCUGAGAAUCGUUUUGUCGUAAACAAUAGUUUAUCGUUGCUUAAAGGUAUACAUUAAAUUACCUACAAUAGACGCUGCAUCUACCCCUAUAAUCCUAGGACGUCUUUUUUAAGGGUCGAGUUAAGAAUUUAAAAAGUACUCCAUACUAAAAUAUUGAAAAACAUCUAUUUUGCCGCAAAAGUUCCGUUGAAAUCGGUUCAGUGAUUUAAGAGAUUAUCAGAGACAGUAAAAUGGACAUUUAAAUU